rnacentral:lncRNA from 1 species
CCCUGUUAUAAUACCAGCAUGGUCGAAAGACCCAAUUAGGUACAAGCUGGCAGCUUUUAGAUUUAUAAUUGCCUGUAUCCACACCCAUGUCAUGAAAUGGGAAGAUAGAAUCCAGGAGUUCGAGUACGUCUUAGAGCUCGGUCGCUGCUAUGGGUACAAUACCAACACUAUGCAAGGUAUAUGGAAAAAAGAAUAUAGUUCCGUAGAGAGGUUAAUGUCCCAAGACCAUAGGAUAUCACAGGGAGAUGAUACUAGGCCCUAUACAUCUAUUACAUAUUAUCUGGAGGUAGAUAAGGUCCUACAUGAGCAUUCUGGUAAAGGGAGAUACAGAAUGGCUCUUAAGAGAGCCCCUACGAUAUUUAACUCUAUAAGGAAUGA